rnacentral:rRNA from 1 species
GAUGAACGCUGGCGGCGUGCCUAAUACAUGCAAGUCGAGCGAACAGACGAGGAGCUUGCUCCUCUGACGUUAGCGGCGGACGGGUGAGUAACACGUGGAUAACCUACCUAUAAGACUGGGAUAACUUCGGGAAACCGGAGCUAAUACCGGAUAAUAUAUUGAACCGCAUGGUUCAAUAGUGAAAGACGGUUUUGCUGUCACUUAUAGAUGGAUCCGCGCCGCAUUAGCUAGUUGGUAAGGUAACGGCUUACCAAGGCAACGAUGCGUAGCCGACCUGAGAGGGUGAUCGGCCACAUUGGAACUGAGCCACGGUCCAGACGCCUACGGGAGGCAGCAGUAGGGAAUCUGCCGCAAUGGGCGAAAGCCUGACGGAGCAACGCCGCGUGAGUGAUGAAGGUCUUCGGAUCGUAAAACUCUGUUAUGAGGGAAGAACAAAUGUGUAAGUAACUAUGCACGUCUUGACGGUACCUAAUCAGAAAGCCACGGCUAACUACGUG